UUAGUCAUAAGAAGCCGAGUAACAAGACUACGAGCUUGUCGUCACGUGACCUUUUCACACUUGUCAACCCUCUUUUGCUGUGCGUGGACGCAUCGUUGUGUGCGGUACGUGCCAGACAUGAGGGCCAAGUGGCGCAAGAAGCGGAUGCGAAGGUUGAAGCGCAAGCGCAGGAAGAUGCGUGAGAGGUCCAAGUAAGCCGGAGCCAUGAGUGGCGGAGACAAAGCCUGGCUGGCACAGGAGGAAAGCCUGAAGAGGGUGUCCUCUACUCUGCCCGGACUGUAAUACCGCCACCUGGUCACUGCAUCGGACGGUGCCCUUGCACUUACAUGACGGACCCCAAGCUCUCGAUGUGCGCAAGGAGACACCUCUGGACAUUGGAUCAUCGUUUGUUCACCUCCAUUAAACGUUCAUCCCACAAUGA